rnacentral:rRNA from 1 species
UACGUAGGGAGCUAGCGUUGUCCGGAAUCAUUGGGCGUAAAGCGCGUGUAGGCGGUCCGGUAAGUCCGCUGUGAAAGUCGGGGGCUCAACCCUCGAAUGCCGGUGGAUACUGUCGGGCUAGAGUGCGGAAGAGGCGAGUGGAAUUCCUGGUGUAGCGGUGAAAUGCGCAGAUAUCAGGAGGAACACCAAUUGCGAAGGCAGCUCGCUGGGACGUUACUGACGCUGAGACGCGAAAGCGUGGGGAGCAAACAGG